AAACCAGCAUCUCAAGUGGUCAGGAUGAUUAUUGGGCCUAAAGCAUCCGUAGCCGGCUCUGUAAGUUUUCGGUUAAAUCUGUACGCUUAACGUACAGGCUGCCGGGAAUACUGCAGAGCUAGGGAGUGGGAGAGGUAGACGGUACUCGGGAGGAAGUGGUAAAAUGCUUUGAUCUCUCGAUGACCACCUGUGGCGAAGGCGGUCUAUCAGAACACGUCCGACGGUGAGGGAUGAAAGCUGGGGGAGCAAACCGGAUUAGAAACCCCAGUAGUCC
rnacentral:rRNA from 1 species